rnacentral:lncRNA from 1 species
UCAUUUUCCGAAAAGUAACCGAAAUAGCUGUAGGAGCUGUUGUUCUCUUGUAUCACCGCUGUUAGUGCGAGGUGGAUACCGAGACUAGUGUAGGUUGAGAUUACGCUCGUGCUGAGAGGGCGAACUCGUUUUACAGUAGAGUGUAGACUGUUUUGUACUGUUGGGUGCCGUUGUAGUUGAUGGUGGAUCAAGAUUUUUGUAUCUUGCAUCAGAUUGUGUCAAGGGCACGUAAGCUUUGGUUGUU